GGAUUGAGAGGGAAGAUGAGAGGGAAUGAUGGGAGGGAGGAGUAACAAAAGUGAAAACAGAAAGUAAAAACUGAAAUCUAUUUGAAAUUGUUUUCACUUUUGUUACUUAUCCCUCCCAUCCUCCUCUCUCAUCCUCUCUCUCAAUCUC
rnacentral:miRNA from 1 species